rnacentral:siRNA from 1 species
GAGGGGAUGUAGCUCAAA